rnacentral:rRNA from 1 species
UGCCAGCCGCCGCGGUAAUACGGAGGGUGCAAACGUUGUUCGGAAUCACUGGGCAUAAAGAGCACGUAGGCUGCCCAGCCAGUCCGUUGUGAAAUCCCCCGGCUCAACCGGGGAACUGCAUCGGAUACUGCUGGGCUUGAGGACGGCAGGGGUGAGUGGAACUCCAGGUGGAGCGGUGAAAUGCGUAGAUAUCUGGAGGAACACCGGUGGCGAAAGCGGCUCACUGGGCCGUCCCUGACGCUGAGGUGCGAAAGCCAGGGGAGCGAACGGGAUUAGAUA